rnacentral:rRNA from 1 species
CGCGUAGGCGGCUCUGCAAGUCGAAGGUGAAAUCCCUCAGCUCAACUGAGGAACUGCCUCCGAUACUGCAGGGCUUGAGUUCCGGAGAGGGUAGCGGAAUUCCCAGUGUAGCGGUGAAAUGCGUAGAUACUGGGAGGAACACCGGUGGCGAAGGCGGCUACCUGGACGGAUACUGACGCUGAGGCGCGAAAGCGUAGGGAGCAAACAGGAUUAGAUACCCUGAUAGUCC